GAAGAAUCUCCCAAGAGCUUCAUAAUGUACUUAUUGGGGAUACCGUGGACAUCCAGACACAAAUGAAGUGGUUUCAAGAAAGUGUACCAGAAAUUGCUUUCUUUCAAGAGAUUCCUCAAUAUAUGACUGCUUUGAAUUCCAUAUUGAACAUGAGUGAGAAUUUAACAUACUCUAGCAAACAAGAAAAGUUAAAAGAUGUGUUUAAAAACGUGGACGAGCUCAAAGAAGAUCUCAAA
rnacentral:lncRNA from 1 species